GACGAACGCUGGCGGCGUGCUUAACACAUGCAAGUCGAACGGAAAGGCCCUGCUUUUGUGGGGUGCUCGAGUGGCGAACGGGUGAGUAACACGUGAGUAACCUGCCCUUGACUUUGGGAUAACUUCAGGAAACUGGGGCUAAUACCGGAUAGGAGCUCCUGCUGCAUGGUGGGGGUUGGAAAGUUUCGGCGGUUGGGGAUGGACUCGCGGCUUAUCAGCUUGUUGGUGGGGUAGUGGCUUACCAAGGCUUUGACGGGUAGCCGGCCUGAGAGGGUGACCGGCCACAUUGGGACUGAGAUACGGCCCAGACUCCUACGGGAGGCAGCAGUGGGGAAUAUUGCACAAUGGGCGGAAGCCUGAUGCAGCAACGCCGCGUGCGGGAUGACGGCCUUCGGGUUGUAAACCGCUUUCGCCUGUGACGAAGCGUGAGUGACGGUAAUGGGUAAAGAAGCACCGGCGACUACGUG
rnacentral:rRNA from 1 species